GAUUGUUUUGCUCACAGCCCUGGAAGCUGUUUGCAAAGCUGAUGAUGGAUGCUAUACACUUUGGCUCAAGUUAAGCAGCAGGGUCCCACCUGUUUGUUGGUACAGUUCAGCUGUUCCCAAGAUUGUGCAGGGACUGAGACACAUAGGCAUCAAUGGGUUCCCCGAGCCUCCCUGUCAAAGGCUGAGCUCAUCGUUUCCUGCCCUCCCAUCAACUCCAAUCCAUGAGCCAUACAAGCAACUCAAAUGGCAACCUUCAAUGGAGGCCGUUCUGCAGAUGGUAAAGUAGAGCUAUCCCUGGCUCUGCAGCUGAGUAUGGAGUAAGAAGCUAGAGGUCAGCCGGGCAUGGUGGCGC